rnacentral:rRNA from 1 species
GACAGAGGUGCCGAGCGUUAGGCGGAAUCACUGGGCUUAAAGCGUGUGUAGGCGGACUUCUAAGUACCUUGUGAAAUCCCACGGCUCAACCGUGGAACUGCUGGGCAUACUGCGGGUCUUGGGCCAACUAGGGGCAGCCGGAACAAGCGGUGGAGCGGUGAAAUGCGUAGAUAUCGCUUGGAACGCCGAAGGUGAAAACAGGCUGCUGGGGUUGCGCCGACGCUGAGACACGAAAGCCAGGGGAGCAAACGGG